rnacentral:rRNA from 1 species
GAAUCUGAUCCUGGUUCAGGAUGAACGCUGGCGGCGUGGAUAAGGCAUGCAAGUCGAGCGGAACAAUUUGCGAUUACAUCAAGAAUUGUUUAGCGGCGAACGAGUUAGUAUUACCUUGGAAUCUACCUUGAAGACGGGAAUAAUCCGCCGAAAGGCGGACUAAUACCCGAUAGUCCCUGAGAGCAAUCGAAGGGUAAAGGGCGCAAGCCGCUUCAAGAGGAGCCUCGGUCCUAUCAGCUAGUUGGUGAGGUAAUGGCUCACCAAGGCGAUGACGGGUAGGGGGGGUGAGAGCCCGAUCCCCAACGACGAAACUGAGAUACGGUUCGUACACCUACGGGUGGCUGCAGUCGAGAAUAUUCGACAAUGGGCGAAAGCCUGAUCGAGCGACGCCGCGUGCAGGAAGAAGGCCCUCGGGUCGUAAACUGCUUUUACGGGGGAGGAACGCAAGUGACUGUACCCCGAGAAUAAGGCGCAGCAAACUUCGUGCCAGCAGCUGCGGUAAUACGAAGGCGCCAAGCGUUAUCCGGAUUUAUUGGGCGUAAAGGGUCUCCAGGCGGUUUUGUUAGUCCGAUGUUAAAUCCUUCUGCUCAACGGAAGGGAUGCAUCGGAAACGGCAAAACUUGAGACAGGGAGAGGUAAGCGGAACUCACGGUGUAGGGGUGAAAUCCGUUGAUAUCGUGGGGAACACCGAAGGCGAAGGCAGCUUACUGGUCCUGUUCUGACGCUCAUGGGACGAAAGCGUGGGGAGCGAAUAGGAUUAGAUACCCUAGUAGUCCACGCCCUAAACGAUGCAGACUCGCCAUGGGAAGUAUCGACCCUUUCCGUGGCUUAGCUUACGCGUUAAGUCUGCCGCCUGGGAAGUACGAGCGCAAGCUUAAAACUCAAAGGAAUAGACGGGAAUUCGCACAAGCGGUGGAGCAUGUGGUUCAAUUCGACGACAACCGAAGAACCUCACCAGGGUUAGACAUGCCGGAGAAAGCCGCGGGAAACCGCGGUGUACACAAGGAUGCCGGCACAGGUGAUGCACGGCCCUCGUCAGUUCGUGAUGUGAAUUGUUCCCUUCAGUGGGUUAACGAACGCAACCCCUAUCGUAUGUUACAAGUGUCAUGCGAAACUGCCUGCUUUUUGCGAGAGGAAGGCGGGGAUGACGCGAGGUCAGCGUGUCCCUCUGAUACCCUGGGCUACACACGUGCUACAAUGGAGUCGACAAUGCGUUGCGAAGCCGUAAGGCGGAGCCAAUCGCAUCAAACGACUCCCCAGUUCAGAUUGAGGUCUGCAACUCGACCUCAUGAAGUAGGAAUCGCUAGUAAUCGCGGGUCAGCUAUACCGCGGUGAAUACGUUCUCGAAUU